GGGCGCCGUAGGGAGCGCCGGUGCUGGGUCCCGCGGCGGCCGCUGGGUAGGCCGUCACUGGCUCGCCUGCCUUCGCCGGCUUUCCUGACGGACCAGCGGGUGGGUAGCCGGCGGGUGCGGGGUAGGCGGUGGAUGGCUCGCCCGUCUUUCCGGCAGGUGGGUAGCCGGAGGGAGGUGGGUAGGCACCAGCGGUUGCUGCCCCGUCGGCCUUCGCCGCCUGCGGGUACGCGGACUGCGGCGGGUAUGCGUUACCUGGCGGCGGGUAGGCAGACGGAGCCCCGUAG
rnacentral:lncRNA from 1 species